rnacentral:rRNA from 1 species
UCGGGAAUAUUGGACAAUGGGCGAAAGCCUGAUCCAGCCAUGCCGCGUGUGUGAAGAAGGUCUUCGGAUUGUAAAGCACUUUAAGUUGGGAGGAAGGGUUGUAGAUUAAUACUCUGCAAUUUUGACGUUACCGACAGAAUAAGCGCCGGCUAACUCUGUGCCAGCAGCCGCGGUAAUACAGAGGGUGCAAGCGUUAAUCGGAAUUACUGGGCGUAAAGCGCGCGUAGGUGGUUAGUUAAGUUGGAUGUGAAAUCCCCGGGCUCAACCUGGGAACUGCAUUCAAAACUGACUGACUAGAGUAUGGUAGAGGGUGGUGGAAUUUCCUGUGUAGCGGUGAAAUGCGUAGAUAUAGGAAGGAACACCAGUGGCGAAGGCGACCACCUGGACUGAUACUGACACUGAGGUGCGAAAGCGUGGGGAGCAAACAGGAUUAGAUACCCCCGUAGUCCCUGAGCGGGCUGGCAAGGCGCAU